rnacentral:rRNA from 1 species
GUGAGGAAUUUUCCGCAAUGGGCGAAAGCCUGACGGAGCAAUGCCGCGUGAAGGAUGAAGGCCUAUGGGUUGUAAACUUCUUUUCUCAGAAAAGAAUUAUGACGGUAUCUGAGGAAUAAGCAUCGGCUAACUCUGUGCCAGCAGCCGCGGUAAGACAGAGGAUGCAAGCGUUAUCCGGAAUGAUUGAGCGUAAAGCGUCUGUAGGUUGUUUAAAAAGUAUUCUGUCAAAGAUUAGGGCUUAACCCUAGAUAGGCAGAAUAAACUUUUAAGCUAGAGUUUGGUAGAGGCAGAGGGAAUUCCCGGUGGGGCGGUGAAAUGCGUAGAUAUCGGGAGGAACACCAAAGGCGAAGGCACUCUGCUGGGCCAAUACUAACACUGAGAGACGAAAGCGAGGGGAGCAAAUGGGAUUAGAAACCCGAGUAGUCC